UCCUGAUUCCAGCAUUCACGAGUCAGGGGAAGGUCCCUGCUAAGGACAGACCUCAGGAGGGCAGUUGGUCCAGGACACACACCUGCUUUCCUCCUGUUUGCUGAUCCUGCCCUGGGUGGAAAAGGAGGGAGCUACUCUCAGGCUGCGUGUAAGUGGUGGGGGUGGGAGUGUGGAGGAGCUCACCCAUCCCAUAAUUCCUCCUGUCCCACGUCUCCUGCGGGCUCUGACCAGGUCCUGUUUUUGUUCUAUCCCAGCCAGUGACAGUGCCCAGGGCUCUGAUGUGUCUCUCACGGCUUGAAAAGUUGUAAGGGAUGUGAUCAGACUACACCCAGAGCAGACUGCACAGUUCUGACCCCAAGUCUAGAGGACAGUUAGACAAGGAACUUCCGUGUGUACAGGGAUCACCCGGAUGUGGUGCUGAGAUCCAGGAAGUCUGGAAUCGAGCUACGGAUUCUGUAUUUAUGACAAGGCUGGAGUUCGUGUUGCUGUUCUCCAGAUUAUACUUGCAGUAUCAAGAGCACCAGGAUCCCACAUGUCUGAGCAUCAGCCUCACCUCUAGGGCUUGUUAUAUAAACGAUUCCUUGGUCGUGUGCAUAAUACUCUGAGACAGGGGUUCUGGGGAGUGGCCUGAGUAUUUUCUAAGCCCCCGCCAGCAAUCAUGUUGCUCAGCCAGAUUGGGAACCACUGAGAUCAGAGAGUGCCCAGGGUGGGUGGGUGGAGUGGGUUUUCAAACCUGUUGAAAGAGGAUUUUUCUCACAGUAAGAAAAGGGAGGAUGUGUAUCAUCAGUUAUGAGAUGUGACAUUCGCUGUUGUUCUCUCUACCAUGGGGUAGAGGCCAGGUAGAGAAUUCAGGAUGUGGCUCUCGCACAAGGAACACCUCUGAAUGCCGCUCUCUGACACCCGCCCACAGACUCAUUUCCCACUCACUUCUUGGAGCAAACUAUGGAAAACAAAUUUCUGUAAGGUACACAUAAAGUCGUAUAUCUGGUAUUGGGGGCUAGUUUUAUUGUGGGGAAGGCCACAGAAGCAGGCUGGAGCCUACACAUCCAGGAACAGAAUCUACAGCCCACCCUGGAUCAGGUCCCUCCUAGGAACAACUGCCCCUGUUGCUGAGCACAGACGCCACUGCUCACACCUCUGACACCCUGGUGCUGGACACUGGACCCCAAGGCCAGGAGAGACGUCACUGCUGCACCUGGAAAUUGGACAUCACGACUGCCACUCAGUUUACUAAAAUGUUUUCUGCACAGUCCCAGCCUCUCUGUCACCUCAUUCUGGCUCAGAGGCUGGCAGUGAUAUAGGAGUUAAGAAGAAAUUAUUUAGACAGAUAGUGAGGGUACGGAAGGCUUUUAAUGAAAAGCAGGCUCCAAAUUAUUUUCUUUUCUAACAAGGUGCAGCCUGUAAUAUCAAGCUUCAGACAUAGACAAGUAAGCUAGAAGCUUGCACGGGUGAAUGCCGGCAACUGUGCCAAUAGGAAUAGGACACCUGGGACUGGGCAUGAUCACAAUGGCGACUCCAUCUUCCCUUCUCUUUGCCAGGCUCCUUCCGUAGAGUAAGGAGCAGAGAACAUGGCGCCGGCCAAGUGGCAAGCCCAUUUGCAUAUAGGAUUAAGGUGGGGUGAACAGCCUUCCACUUGCACUAUGUAAAUAUCACACCUGGUCCAAUCAACCUGUGGGCCCUACAUAAAUCAGACACCAUCUCCUCAAGCCUGCCUGUAAAAUCCGGUGCACUCCCAUUCCAGGCCAGAAUUCCCUUUUGGGUUCCCCUCUCUCUCACAAGAAGAGAGCUAUUCCCCUUUGUCUUUCUUUUGCCUAUUAAAUGCUUUGCUCCUAAACUCACUCCUCGUGUGUCAGUGUCCUUAAUCUUCUUGGUGUGAGAUGACACACCCUUAGUAU